UUCUUUUGUUUUUUUUUUUUUUUCUUUUUCUUUCUUUGGAGACAUGGUCUUAUGUAUCCCAGGCAAAUCUAAGGUUUUCAAAGAUGACCUGGAACUACUUCUCCACCUUCCAGGUGCAGUGUUGGACUCAGAAAAGGGGGAGGCACUGGGAGGGCUCAGCAGGCCUGGCCCCUUCCGGAGAGUUCGAAGGGAACUUCUGGGAAGAGAAGCCAGCACACCUAGUGUAUGUGGUUCUGUAGAUCGAAUGUAGAUUGAACCCAAGGCUGUGUGCCUGAGUCUUAGGACAGCCUGCUACACAGACACUCCAAAAAUGAAAACUCAGCUAGGUCUCCAGCCUCCUGGUUUUGCUUUUUAAGAGAAAGUCUCAAAUAGCCUUCAAACUCUCUAUGUAGCCAAGGGUAGGGUCAUCUUCCUGCCUCUACCUCCUAACUGUCACCUUGUAUGUUAUCACACCAGCCUAUUCUCAUCUCCUUUUUUAAAAAUAAAGAUUUACUUAUUAUUAUACAUAAGUUCACGGUAGCUGACUUCAGACACACCAGAAGAGGGCAUCAGACUACUCCUAAGCAAACAUUGUUUAGGUAGAGGUGGAGGAAACCUAUAGAGAUGUUCUUCUGAGAACUUAUAAUAAGUCCUUGUCAUUAAAUAUGUCUGGCCUUCAUAAAGUCUCUGUUUUCAAUAUUUUCACCAUAGGACCCAACAGACUGCAGUCCCAUGGGGCGGAGGCUGAAAGGCGCCCGUCGCCUGAAGCUGUAAGUUGAUCAGAUUCUCCCUCUCGCCUGGCCAUGAAAGUGAAGGCAGAAGUCUGUAGUUUUUUCCAACACUAUAUGUAGUAGAGGCCCUGGGGAAUGGACAAGAGUGGUACCCAAGGACUGGGAACAGGAAUACUCAGGAUACUCAAGCCAACCCUUGUGUCCCUUCUCUUCCCAGAAGCUCCCUUCGAACUCUCCGGAAGGGGCCAGGCCUGCUGAGCCCUCCCAGUGCCUCCCCCUUUCCCACCCCUGCUGUCAGCCGGACCCUGCUGGGCAACUUUGAGGUAGCUCCUUUUGGACUUUGUAAUUAAGGGUUCCUGGGAGGAAUUCAAUGGUGGAAUGUGCCUCAAAAAACAAAGGAAAGACUUGGCAUCGUUCUCAGAUGUGUCUACUCCACCCUAAUACCAGGAAUCACUGCUUCGAGGACGCUUUGCACCAUCUGGCCACAUUGAGGGCUUUACUGCAGAGAUUGGAGCCAGUGGGUCUUACUGUCCCCAACAUGUCACGCUGCCCGUCACUGUCACCUUUUUUGAUGUUUCUGAGCAAAAUGCGCCGGCCCCCUUCCUGGUAUGACAUAAAUCUGACCCCAAAAUUAUCUCAGAGGGCUUGGGUGGCAAAAGGCAUUUCUUCCAUGUUCUUCUUCUAGGAGUGAGUCAGGUUAAGAAGGGAAGAAUUCUAGUAUAGGGUAGAGCCAAGUCCAGGGGGAAGUGCUAUAGAGCUUUUAGUAUUUGGUGCUCAUGACUGACUUUUCUAGCUCCUGCCCUGGCUAAUGGUUUAUGGUCUUCCUAGGGAGUCGUGGACCUGACUCCUCUGGGGAGGAAGGGUUACAGUGUGCCCAAGGUGGGCACCAUCCAAGUGGUGAGUGACGGAGUGCUGGGCGCCCUGAGGGAGUUGAUGUGGGAAGAGAGGAGAAUCAGUCAGUAGGCCCUACCAACCUGGACUGUCCUGUCCCCAGACCUUAUUUAACCCCAACCAGACUGUGGUGAAGAUGUUCCUUGUGACCUUUGACUUCUCGGACAUGCCUGCUGCCCACAUGACCUUCCUGCGCCAUCGCCUCUUCUUGGUGCCUGUGGGUGAGGAGGGAAAUGCUAGCCCCACCCACCGCCUCCUCUGCUACUUGCUGCACCUCAGGUAAGCCCAGGACCCGGGGAGAGCUGGAGAAGCUCGGGUAGCCAUCUGUCCUCUGCCCUCAACAAUCUCCCCUUUCUUCUCCAUCAUCCGGAUGCUGACGUGCUCACACUGUCUUCCCCUCAGGUUCCGGAGCUCUCGCUCAGGCCGCUUAAGCCUGCAUGGAGAUAUCCGCCUGCUUUUUUCCCGCCGGAGCCUGGAGCUGGACACGGGGCUCCCCUAUGAACUUCAGGCUGUGACUGAGGCCCCCCAUAAUCCACGUUAUUCACCUUUGCCCUGAUCGCAAGCAUCCUGAACCUAGGUGGGCCCAAAGCCUGCCUGUCCUACCAUCCUGGACAGGGUAAACUGUGGAGAAAUGGCGAGAGCCCCUUCAGGCUUGAAUUAAAGUCCUCAUCCCGCUCACGCCCAAAUUGACUAUUUGGGUGUUUAAAGCUUCGGUCCUUCCAUACCCUGUCUGCUCUGGGUACUUCAUGUGCCUGUCCCCUCCCUUGGGUUUCCCAGGCCAGCUUAGGUAGUUAGGGAGGAACCAGAGCUACCCUGAGAUUGUCCCAAGUUCCCAGGCAAGUAAUGCCAGCGUUGCCUCCCUGUCCUGGGCAGGGGCCACUUAUUAUUUUAUUUAUUUUUAAUUUAUAAUUUAUUCAAAUUGGAUUGCCUUGGUGACCUCCCAAACCUGAUAAUUGGCAUCACCCCACUCUCAGAUAUUGCUCCAACCUCAGGACUUGAAGAAGCUGAUGUCGGGGCAAGGGGAGAGCUGCUCUCCUCUGGCUAAGGGCAGAGGGUUUAUUCCAGAGGAACUGAGUCACUUAGCCAAAGACUCAGCUUCCCUCGGCUUUCUCUAUUCCUUUUCCCUUUCCUGCCCUUCAACCCAUCUUCGAAAGCCUGUAUGUGUGGUGUGUGUGUGUGUGUGUGUGUGUGUGUGUACAGCUGUGUGCGUGCAUACAAACUUGGGUUUGUGUAGGGUGUGUGUGUGAGAGAGAGACAGAAUGUGCAUGUAUGUGUAACACAGGGGUUUAGCCACCUCUUACCUAGGGCUCAGACUCACUUGUCCCUCUCCUCCUGCCUGUGUCUCCUUGCUUUGGUGUCCUGACUGAGGAAGGUGUCCAGGGACAGAGUCAGGCCUAAGGACUGGGGAACCUCCUCUCACCUGACCAGACUCUGACCCACCUACCUCAGCUGGGAUGAGGGGUGCCCCUCAUUCAGUCACAUGGUUCCCAGUUACUCCACUCCUCACUUAAGACUCUGACCCAGCCUCAACCCUUAACUCUUGGGGCUUGGCUGAGGGGAACAAGCAUUUGCUGAAACUUGAAAAACAAAACAAACAAACAAAAAAAUGGGAAAAAUUGUACCUGGUACAUUUUUUAAGGAAAAAAAAAAGAAUAAAUUCUUGUUUGGAAACUUGAACUAACCUCUACUUUUUUUUGUGUUCAAGAGGAUGGAGAUGUGGGGCCUAAAGGGAGCUGGAAUUCUGGCAACAAGCUCAAACCCAUGAGAUCUUAGGCUGGGAUGAGCUGAGUCUUGGACCAUAGUCUUAGUCCUUUUUGUAUAAGGUGCUGGGGGCUGGGUGGGUAAAGUGAAGCUACAGAGGCUAAACUCUGAGAAUCUGGAUUCUUACACUGAUUCUGUAGUUUAGCCCCAUCAGAACCUCAGUGUCUGUAUAUGUAAAAUGAAGGAGGAGGAGGAGAAUGAGAAGAAGGAGAUGAGGGGGGAUACAGGCCUCUUAAAGCUUGUAUUUGAGAGAGUGUCAGAGACCUGAGCAAGGUUGAUGUGUUUCAGACAAAAAUGAAAGGCUGAGGCUCUUUGUUUCCCUCUGUAUGUAAGGGGAUCAUGCCUGACCGUUUCUGGCUC
rnacentral:lncRNA from 1 species